rnacentral:rRNA from 1 species
UACGGAGGGUGCGAGCGUUGUCCGGAAUCACUGGGCGUAAAGGGCGCGUAGGCGGCGCGGAUAGUCGGCGGUGAAAGCCCGGAGCUCAACUCCGGGUCGGCCGUCGAUACUUCCGGGCUUGAGCACUGUAGAGGCAGAUGGAAUUCCGGGUGUAGCGGUGGAAUGCGUAGAGAUCCGGAAGAACACCGGUGGCGAAGGCGGUCUGCUGGGCAGUUGCUGACGCUGAUGCGCGA